ACCUGAAACACUUAAUUGUAUUGUAUAUGCGGAACACACAUUGAGGGAAGACGUGUAUUUUCCCUGGUGGAGUUCAACAGUACCGAGAAAUGCAGAACUAGACGUUCCUAGGGCCUACGUCUCCUUCGCCUCUAAAGACUUUCAACCUCUGGAAGCAUCUCCAAGAAGUGGAAGGUAUUUGUUCCGAGUUUGUUUUGUUUGGAUGCAGCGGUAUCCAAGGAGAAAAGAAGAGAGGAGAUGUAGAAGAGGCAGGACAGGACCCAUCCUCCCCUCUCUGCCCAUAUAUAAGGGACUGGUUUUGAGGCUGUGAGGACAGAAACUCAGAUGGUAAGGAUAUUCUUGAAGCCUUGGUGAAAACACCGACAAACACGUGCAGGAAUCGCUGCAGAGUCAUCAGAUAAGAAGUACCUCAGGG